CCUACGGGGGGCUGCAGUGAGGAAUAUUGGUCAAUGGACGCAAGUCUGAACCAGCCAUGCCGCGUGGAGGAUGACAGCCUUCUGGGUUGUAAACUUCUUUUAUAUGGGAAGAAAAGUACGGUUUCUACUGUAUCCGACGGUACCAUAUGAAUAAGCACCGGCUAACUCCGUGCCAGCAGCCGCGGUACUACGGAGGGUGCAAGCGUUAUCCGGUUUUACGGGGUUUAAGGGGGAUGUAUGCGGCUGUGUAGAAAUCUCCGGGCUCAACCCGGAAACUGCCUUUGAUACUAUUUAUCUUGAAUUUCGUUGAGGUUGGCGGAAUAUAUCAUGUAGCGGUGAAAUGCAUAGAUAUGAUAUAGAACACCGAUUGCGUAGGCAGCUGGCUGAACGAACAUUGACGCUGAGGCACGAAAGCGUGGGUAGCGAACAGGAUUAGAUACCCCAGUAGUC
rnacentral:rRNA from 1 species